GAGGACCAGCAGCGCUAGGGCUGUGGCACAGCUGCCCACAAUUGCAGGCACCGCCCACAGAGGUCAAAGACCAAGAGUUAUGACGAGAUCAAAUUUAUAUUAUGAACAUCAGAAAGAACAAAAUCAAGCCCAAUUGCUACAACUACAAGACCAUGGGAUGUGCAAUCAUUGACCAUAUGUCUUCCAAACAGCCAAUGUUUUUCAGAUACUGGCUGCUAACACCUCGUCUUGGGAGUCCUCCCCAGUUCAUCCUCAUAAAGAGCCUGAAAGA